rnacentral:rRNA from 1 species
UACAGAGGGUGCUAGCGUUGUUCGGAAUUAUUGGGCGUAAAGGGCGCGUAGGCGGCCCUGUGUGUCGGGUGUGAAAGCCCACCUCUUAAAGGUGGAAUUGCAUUCGAAACUACAGGGCUGGAGUGUCGGAGAGGAUGGCGGAAUUCCUGGUGUAGCGGUGAAAUGCGCAGAUAUCAGGAGGAACACCAAUUGCGAAGGCAGCUCGCUGGGACGUGACUGACGCUGAGACGCGAAAGCGUGGGGAGCAAACAGG